CAACGUCUUCCCAUUCUCCAGCGUCCGGAUGUUCCAUGAUUCAAACUUCCAUAGCCAGCCUUUAUCCCGUAUCCACCAUUCACAACCUUUCUGUUUCCUUCCCGCAACCGUAUGCGUCCUCCCCGCGUGUAUCCCAAACGUCUUUCAUCUGCGGCCAGCUAUCCACCUUUCCCUGCUUCAGCAGAACAGAGCCACAAUUCUAGAUUGACUCUAAAGAUCUUCUUCCGUGAUUCCUCCCAUCCAUCCCAACCACCCACGGAUAAGCUCCAGAUUCAUCCAAACAUAUUCCCCCGCGUCUACGUCCUCAACAGAGUCCUGCUUUCCCUCGCAUCUUCCCAUCAUAUCUUCAUCACGGAUCCACUUCCAAGUUUCUUCCACGUCGUUCCUUAUCUCACUGCCAACCAACUUCAAGCUUCCUUCCGUUCACAAGAUCAGCUCCCGCAUCCGAGUACUCCAUGAUCCGACUCCAUCCGCAAGUGAUCUUCCGCAUCCAAGAUUCCCGUGAGCCAUAUCCUCCCAUUCGGAACAGCCACGUGAAGAAACAGAGGAGGAGGGAGGGGGAGCUUGUAGCCUAUAAAAGGAGGAAGCUUCACCGAGAGAAGGACAAGCUCGGGUUCUCAGGCUGAGUUUCCACCAAAGAAAGCAGGGAGAGAAUACUUUGGGUCUUUUUGGGAAUGACUUCCCAAAAGAAAAAAUAAUGAAUUGCUAAAGAAGGAAGGAGAGAGCCAGGGAAGGGAGGAAUAAAAGAAGAAAUGGGAGCCCGCUGCUGCGCCACUGCUGCUGUCGCCCACGACUCCAUGGAAAGGCUGAUCUUCUCUCCAGGGCUAGAUGCAGCUGUUGGGAAUUGUAUUCUAAAUGUCAAUCGUCAGCAUGUUGAUGAUUAAAUGAAUUGACAAAUCAAUAAAGUAUUUUUUGGCAUUAUUCAUUAUUUUACAUCUUCAAAUGAACUCUUAUAUGAUGAAGUCCUUAGGACUUAUUAAUGAUAAAGGAGGAUUUAUCUUCGAGUCUUUAAACUAGUUCGCGAC
rnacentral:lncRNA from 1 species